rnacentral:rRNA from 1 species
GCGUUGUUCGGAAUUACUGGGCGUAAAGCGCACGUAGGCGGGUCGUUAAGUCAGGGGUGAAAUCCCGGAGCUCAACUCCGGAACUGCCUUUGAUACUGGCGAUCUAGAGAUCGGAAGAGGUGAGUGGAAUUCCCAGUGUAGAGGUGAAAUUCGUAGAUAUUGGGAAGAACACCAGUGGCGAAGGCGGCUCACUGGUCCGAUACUGACGCUGAGGUGCGAAAGCGUG